rnacentral:rRNA from 1 species
AACGAACGCUGGCGGCAUGCCUAAUACAUGCAAGUCGAACGAACUCUUCGGAGUUAGUGGCGCACGGGUGCGUAACGCGUGGGAAUCUACCCAGAGGUUCGGAAUAACGGUUGGAAACGACUGCUAAUACCGGAUGAUGUCGAGAGACCAAAGAUUUAUCGCCUUUGGAUGAGCCCGCGUAAGAUUAGCUAGUUGGUGAGGUAAAGGCUCACCAAGGCUACGAUCUUUAGCUGGUCUGAGAGGAUGAUCAGCCACACUGGGACUGAGACACGGCCCAGACUCCUACGGUAGGCAGCAGUAGGGAAUAUUGGACAAUGGGGGCAACCCUGAUCCAGCAAUGCCGCGUGAGUGAUGAAGGCCUUAGGGUUGUAAAGCUCUUUUACCCGGGAUGAUAAUGACAGUACCGGGAGAAUAAGCUCCGGCUAACUCCGUGCCAGCCGCCGCAGUAAGAC